CCCCCCCCCGGUCGCCGGGGUCCAGAACCACGUGACCCUCCUUCUGGCAGAUCUCCUGGCCGCCUUCAUCCCAUCACGUGGGCACCUCAUCCUCCCAGAGCCUCAGGAGAGGGGCAGCCUCAGGGCAGUGAGAUGUUGUGACAGAGAGCCCGCAGCCCUGUUACUUUAUUACGGCAUAUUGCUACAGCCAUUCAACUUUUAGUUACUGUUACUCUGUUUCAGGGACCGAUUUACAAAUGAAACUCUAGCAUAGGUCUGUGCAUGUAGGGUUCAGUACCAUCCGCAUCCACUAGGGGGUCUUGGGAUGUAUCCCCUGUGGAUGGGGGGCGGGGAGUUACCGUAUUAAGUUUUACAUGUACGUCAGCGAUUGCAUUAGAGCUAACUUUUGUACGUGGUGCGGGAGGUAGAUCAAGGGAGUAGUUUGGUUUUUGGUUCUGUGUUUUGGGAUUUUUCUUUGUUGGGCUUUUUUGCACAUGGCUAUCUAGUUGUUUGAACACAUUUGUGGAAAAGAUGAACUCCCGUGUGGUUUUGCAGUGGAGUGCUCCCAGUGAGACACAGUCAGUGCACGGCUGUCCCCGGCACCCGGGAGGCUGGUGUUCCAGAAAAUCGCAGCGAGCAGAUGGCCAGCAAUAUCUGCAGGCACCCAGUGUCCUCAACCAGGUUAUCCUUGGGUCCAGGGCCUGGACAGUCGCACUGGGGGGUCCGGGUUGUUCGACCAGAAUCACCUUCGCGUCCCAUGGGUCCCCUGGCCGGCCAGAGGUGCCCUGGGAGGAAAGACAAAGCACCCUGCUCAGGAGGGUCAGGGCUGAAUACUGAAUAUCCGAAGAAGACCUAUGCAGCCCCACCCCCACCCUUUCGUCCUGGUCAUUACCCAGGAGGGGAUCAAGCGGACAUGUGCCUGUCUGGGGGCAGCCCUGGUGCUCAGGCCGGAAGAGGGCACAGAGGUGGAGUCAGAAACCCUCAUAAGCGAACCCUGGGGAAGGGUCAGCAACACCACGUGCUGGGGCGGCAGGACGCGUGCAGGGCCCGGCCACCGCGAGCCCCGGCCCGCCACGGGGCGUCCUUUGUGAUGAAAGAAGCACCUUGCAGAUUGCAGGCGAAACCCACGGCCCCUCAGCUCCUUGGCUUGGAGAAGCAGCGCAGGGGUGAGGUCGGAGGCGAGAUGCAUAGCCCGAGGGAGGGUCCAAGUCUGAAGGAGUCAUUUGCCAGGAGCUAGGGUCGCCCGCCCAGGCGGUGUCCGCCUACCCACCCCCCCCCCCACCAUUGGUGAGCCAGCCCUGGGCAGGAGUCGGGUCUCGUGUGCGGUGACUAGGUCUGCGUCAGUGCAAAGUCCCGUGUGUUGCAUCCCAUCGGUGACACGGGGGGUCGCCGUGAUGGAUCCCCGUGGCAACGGCGGCCCGUGCCCGACCGGGAAGCGCCGGCUGCUUCGGCAGAUGAGUUUUGGCGGGUGGGGUGAGAGAGCAGGCGCCCGCCGUGCGCGAGCACAAGAGGCCCCACACAGUCAGCAGCUGUCAUUUAUUCCUGCAGUCCACAGCACCCAGAAGGGGCGUCAUUAAUCUGUAAUUUUGCAAAAGAACGAGAAAACACCAGAACACCCUGCAAACCACAUUGGUUUCCUAGGACAUAACUGCCUGCUGUAACCAAGUAUCACAGACGGGCCCGCGGAAGACAAAGGAAUCGAUUCGCCCACGGCUGUGGAGACCGGAAGUCUGAAACGGAGAUGGCUGGGAAACGUCGUCUUCCUCUGGACAGUCACACGUCCGACUAAAACUCCCGGGUGCUGGUACCCUGUAGUCUGGAGCGCAAGUAUGUCACAGGGAAAAUGGCUCCCGGGAAGACUGCCCUUCCAGGGAUAACCCAUCCCGCUGCCCUGGGCCCCGCUGACCUUUGGACCGAGGUCAGGGGCCACGUCGUCCCCUUCAGGUGGGUGUUCUGGGAGGGGGUGAGCAUGAGGAGCCCAGCACGUGGUGGGGACCCAGGCCAGGCCCGGGGAGGGUGAUGUCUGGGACCUCCAGGAUGAGGGACGGGGGCGGCCGGGCAGGAGUGCGGUUCCAGCAGAGGAACAGAGUAUGCAGAGGCCCAGAGGCCAGGGACAGGUAUGAAACCGCAGGCAGCACAGCAGGUGUGAGGUUGGAGGUCUCAGCUGGCACGGGGUCCUGAGGGCCCUUGACGAGGGCUCCGAAUGUGGAACUUCAGCCCGGAGGGCCCAGGAUCACCGUGGACGGGGCGCAGACCGACGGCCAGUCAGGCAGCGGCUGGGAGCAGGGCCCGUCCAGGUGAUCCGGGGCGAUCUCCCCUCGAGAUCCUCGAGCACCUCUGCCAAGAUCACAAAGG